CGCUAGAACAUUCUUCUGCUUUUACAGUAAAAUUUCAUUAACUUGUCCAGAAAUUUAAGGUGGCAGCUCUGACACAUCACACCUUUUCUGAAUAUUUUUCUGGAUAGUUUAAAUGUUUCCAUCUGACUCCCUGUCUUGAGUGGACCUAGUUAAUGGGGUUUUACUGCAGCCAGUUUUACUCAGUACUCUACUCGUACCACGUAGUUUGGUGUUUGCAUUUGGGUUUCCGAAUUGUUGAUUUUACUUACAAAUCCUUUUAGAUAUAACAAGCCCUGUUCUGUUUUGUGAAGGCCCAAAGAUACCUACAAAACUUUGUACAUUAAACAGAAGUUACCUG
rnacentral:lncRNA from 1 species